CAGUCGCCGCGGUAAUACGAGGGGAGCUAGCGUUAUUCGGAAUUACUGGGCGUAAAGCGCACGUAGGCGGCUUUGUAAGUUAGAGGUGAAAGCCCAGAGCUCAACUCUGGAAUUGCCUUUAAGACUGCAUCGCUUGAAUCCAGGAGAGGUGAGUGGAAUUCCGAGUGUAGAGGUGAAAUUCGUAGAUAUUCGGAAGAACACCAGUGGCGAAGGCGGCUCACUGGACUGGUAUUGACGCUGAGGUGCGAAAGCGUGGGGAGCAAACAGGAUUAGAUACCCCGGUAGUCCCUGUCUCUUAUAU
rnacentral:rRNA from 1 species